rnacentral:rRNA from 1 species
GACGAACGCUGGCGGCGUGCCUAAUACAUGCAAGUAGAACGCUGAAGGAGGAGCUUGCUUCUCUGGAUGAGUUGCGAACGGGUGAGUAACGCGUAGGUAACCUGCCUGGUAGUGGGGAUAACUUUUGGAAACGAUAGCUAAUACCGCAUAAUAGCCGUUGUUUCCUGAUAACUGUUUGAAAGGUUCAAUUGCACCGCUACCAGAUGGACCUGCGUUGUAUUAGCUAGUUGGUGGGGUAACGGCUCACCAAGGCGACGAUACAUAGCCGACCUGAGAGGGUGAUCGGCCACACUGGGACUGAGACACGGCCCAGACUCCUACGGGAGGCAGCAGUAGGGAAUCUUCGGCAAUGGACGGAAGUCUGACCGAGCAACGCCGCGUGAGUGAAGAAGGUUUUCGGAUCGUAAAGCUCUGUUGUAAGAGAAGAACGAGUGUGAGAGUGGAAAGUUCACACUGUGACGGUAUCUUACCAGAAAGGGACGGCUAACUACGUG